rnacentral:lncRNA from 1 species
AGGGUGUGUAUGGGUCUAGGGUUUGGCACCUCGUGAGUAUCCAGAUGUGCCAGCUCUUCCUCUUGCUUGGCCUCACCCCUUUCCGGCUGGUACUUCCCCUGGGCUCAGCUGUGCCUGUCAGCUUUUACUUCUCUUUGCCACUCCACCUGCGGCUUCUGUCCCCAGGGAUCUGUCCUUAGAGGGACCCUCUCCACUGACCUGGAACAUUCAGUCGACGUCUUUUCCUGGUGCCUGAGGACCAGCAUAGCUGCUGUAAAGGCAAUGAGCUAUGAGGUGGGUGGGCCGAGGGCCUGAACCUCGAGUGCUUGCUUAGCUGAUCUCUGUGGUGGUAGCUCUCUCUCUCUCUUACAUCACUUACCCAGCAAACGUUCUGAGAAAGCUGGCAUCGCCUGGCUCGAGAAAACCCAAGCUGAACUGUCCUUUCCUCUUGGUGUGUCUUGCUCACUCUGCUUUGCAGCCCACUCCCCCUUGGCAACAGAUCCCUCCUCCCCCUACACUGGGUUCAUGCCCCUACUGUACAGUUCUUAACGGCCUGACUUUCCCCCAGAGCCUCACAAAUACCCUAACCCAUAGUAUGAGUGGUGACUGAUGCUGAAUCUAGAAGAAGCCUGGUACCAGUUUCUUUUGCCUCGAUUUGAUGACCCAGAAAUUCAGAUUUGAAUGACUAAAGAGGGUCACCUUUGAAAGCCACAAAUCGGGGUUUCAACUUAGUCAAAUUUCAGGCUCAGAUAAGGGAUGAGAAGUGACUGAUCUACAGUCACACAACUGGGUUGUAGUAUGGAUUUGAGAUUUGGUUUUGGUUUUUGUUGUUGUUUUGUUUUGUUUCCUAAUGUGCUUCCUGCCUCUUGGUGCUACUCAGAGUGGUAAACGAGAUGGCUAUGCCCCACAUCGUCCAUGGAUCAGGGAUCCACUGAGG